CAGCUUCGUCAGGCAGCUCAACAUGUACGGCUUCCGGAAGGUGGUGCACAUCGAGCAGGGCGGGCUGGUGAAGCCGGACAAGGACGACACCGAGUUCCAGCACCCGUUCUUCCUGCGCGGCCAGGAGCGCCUGCUCGAGAACAUCAAGAGGAAAGUCACCAGCGUGUCGUCGCUGAAGGGGG